rnacentral:sRNA from 1 species
AAAGGGAUGCUGACCUAGUGCGAAUAUCAAGAAAUUGUGUGUGUUUUAUGUGCUCCGGGUUCAAUCUCUAUUUGGUAUACAAAUGACUGUUUUUUAAAUCCGGAUAUCUAAAGUCUAACUUUGAGUACUAGGAAGAUUAUAAGGCAAAGAUCUAGAACUCUUAUAGCUUAAAUAAAAAAUGAUUUUACAUGUAAAAGACAGAAAUUACCUAAUAUUAGUUAAGAGAUGAUAUAUUUUCAAGAAAUAAUGAUUCUAGUUGUAUAAAAUACCUAGUUUUUUUUUUGUAUUUUUUUUUGAAUAUUUAGAAGUGCAAGUCCGAAGGCCAUACAUUUCCUAGAGAUAUGAUCCACACCAGGUUAAAUUCAUUUCUUUUGGAGAAGAGAUCCCUCCCAACAGACUUCGAACCCAACACCUCUACCUGCGAGAUUUUUUUUUUGUUAUUCGUAUUAGAUGUGAUUUUGGUGCACCACGCUAGCGUUGGAGAUGAAACUCCCACAUUUUCGCACUGAAUCGACUAUUAAAGCUUGGUCUAAGCUAUCAAUUUAUUACAGUCUAUGCCAGAAAUUUAUGGCAUCCUACCUGAUAUAAAAAGCUUUAUGGCAUCCUACCUGAUAUAAAAAUCAGUGUUCUAUCCUUUAAGUUGUUCAUGUAUUUUCAUUCCAAGAGCAGCCAAUGUUGAGACAGAUUCUCUUGCUAAGCUUGCCUUAUCCGUUUAUGCUGAA